ensembl:lncRNA
AUGCUGAUGAGCUUCUCUCAGGUUCGAGAAAUGAUGCACAUAUUUAUUCACACCUUUUUUUAAUUAAGUGAAGUGAACCAAUUCUAUUACAUAUUUGAUUAUUGACCCAAUAUUAUUUAGAUUCUGCUGUUUGCUUAUAUAUUAACAGUCUGUUCUCCUUUUUUAGCAAAAGAGUUCAAGACUGCAUAUUAUGAUGAUGUCACUAAUGACAGUGGCCUAAAAGAAGAGAUGGUGAAGGAAAUCACACCGGGACACUAUGAUGAUGUCAUCACUGAUGGACUGAAACCAGAUCGUGAGACAGAAGACACACCUGAGAGCUAUGAUGAUGUCAUGACUAGUGGACUUAACUCUGAUAUCAGAAAAGUGGACACACCAGAGAAUUAUGAUGAUGUCAUCAUUAAUAGACCGAGCUCUCAAGGGGUAACAGAGGGAGUUCAAGAGGAGUAUGAUGAUGUCAUGAGUGUCAGUGAAGAUGUGACAAACAUGUUGAAUUAUGAUGAUGUGGAGGAGGAGUCAAACAAAGAAGGGGGUCAUUUGGCUCAAUGAUGUCAUCCACUGCUUCGGUUCAACACAUCUGAACAAAUGCUGAGUUAUUGAUAUAUCGAUAUUAUUAUUGAUAUGUCAAAUCUCAGGUUUUUUUAAUUUUUCCCCAUUUUUCGUAUUAAAUCUGUUAUGCCUUUGUGGAUUUUGUUGGAUUUUUUGGCCUUGUUAAUAGCAAAAAAAUAUAUAUAUAUAUAAUAAAAAUAAUAAUUUUUUGUAUGUCA